UGAGCGAUCACGUAGUCCCAAAGUUAGC
rnacentral:piRNA from 1 species